rnacentral:lncRNA from 1 species
UGGUCCCUGGGCCUUCCCGAAGGCACCCCACAUGCCUGUCUGGAGCCUGGACUGGGGACACAGGAGAUGCUUCUGCACCUGGAGCCUUGGCAAGUGUGGGAAGCAUGGGGGCGGCCUGGGGAAUGCUGUGACAGGCGUCACCACCAUAUCAUCUUCUGCAGACGUCCCCAGGGUGCUUCAGAGAAGAUGGCAGGAGGCAUCACUUCUUGAGGAACCAAAGUUUCU